rnacentral:rRNA from 1 species
ACCAAGGAGUCUAACAUGUGCGCGAGUCAUUGGGUCUUGAAUAGGCCCAAAGGCGUAAUGAAAGUGAAGGGCGGUUCGGCCGUCUGCCUUGGGAUCCCGCGGACCUCGCGUUCGCGGGCGCACCAAGGGCCCGUCCCGGUCGCCUCGUCGACGGGGCGGAGCAAGAGCGUACACGUUGGGACCCGAAAGAUGGUGAACUAUGCCUGGGCAGGACGAAGCCAGAGGAAACUCUGGUGGAGGUCCGCAGCGAUUCUGACGUGCAAAUCGAUCGUCAGACCUGGGUAGGGGCGAAAGACUAAUCGAACCAUCUAGUAGCUGGUUCCCUCCGAAGUUUCCCUCAGGAUAGCUGGCGCUCGGAGGAUGCAGUCUCAUCCGGUAAAGCGAAUGAUUAGAGGCCUUGGGGUCGAAAAGACCUCAACCUAUUCUCAAACUUUAAAUGGGUGAGAAGUCCGGUUUGCUCGACUGAAGCCCGGACGGCAACUUGGAUGCGAGUGCCAAGUGGGCCACUUUUGGUAAGCAGAACUGGCGCUGUGGGAUGAACCAAACGCCGGGUUAAGGGGCCCGAUGCGAGACGCUCAUGAGAUCCCAUGAAAGGUGUUGGUUGCUAUAGACAGCAGGACGGUGGCCAUGGAAGUCGGAAUCCGCUAAGGAGUGUGUAACAACUCACCUGCCGAAGCAACUAGCCCUGAAAAUGGAUGGCGCUUCAGCGUCGACCCCAUACCCGGCCGCCGCGGCCGAAAAGCCUCGUGUUUUAAGCCGCGGUGAGUAGGAGGGGCGCGGAGGCGAGCGUUGAAGGUGCCGGGCGUAAGCCCGCCUGGAGCCGCCUCCGGCGCAGAUCUUGGUGGUAGUAGCAAAUACUCAAGUGAGAACCUUGAGGACUGAGGUGGAGAAGGGUUCCAUGUGAACAGCAGUUGAACAUGGGUCAGUCGGUCCUAAGGGAUAGGAGAAAUCCGUUCCGAGGCGGGACCUCUCGUUAUUGAAAGUCCCGCUGAUGACCGAAAGGGAAUCGGGUUAAUAUUCCCGAACCCGGACGCGGAGAUCGUCCUCUUCGGAGGUACAUUGCGGUAACGCAAACGAGCUCGGAGACGUCGACGGGAGCACCGGGAAGAGUUAUCUUUUCUUUGUAAGGAUUCGACUCCCUGGAAUCGGCUCGCCCGGAGAUAGGGAUGGUGUUUCCGUAAAGCACCGCGCCUCUUGCGGUGUCCGGAUCGCUCCCGUCGGCCCUUGAAAAUCCGAGUGAGAGAUAGUGAUUUUCGUGCCGGACCGUACCC